UACGAAGGGGGCUAGCGUUGCUCGGAAUGACUAGGCGUAAAGGGCGCGUAGGCGGUUUGGACAGUCAGAUGUGAAAUUCCUGGGCUCAACCCGGGGGCUGCAUUUGAUACGUUCGGACUAGAGUGGGGAAGAGGGUCGUGGAAUUCCCAGUGUAGAGGUGAAAUUCGUAGAUAUUGGGAAGAACACCGGUGGCGAAGGCGGCGACCUGGUCCUUGACUGACGCUGAGGCGCGAAAGCGUGGGGAGCAAACAGG
rnacentral:rRNA from 1 species